rnacentral:rRNA from 1 species
AACGAACGCUGGCGGCAUGCCUAACACAUGCAAGUCGAACGAGACCUUCGGGUCUAGUGGCGCACGGGUGCGUAACGCGUGGGAACCUGCCCUUAGGUUCGGAAUAACUCCCCGAAAGGGGUGCUAAUACCGGAUAAUGUCUUCGGACCAAAGAUUUAUCGCCUUUGGAUGGGCCCGCGUUGGAUUAGCUAGUUGGUAGGGUAAAAGCCUACCAAGGCGACGAUCCAUAGCUGGUCUGAGAGGAUGAUCAGCCACACUGGGACUGAGACACGGCCCAGACCCCUACGGGGGGGAGCAGUGGGGAAAAUUGGAAAAGGGGCAAAAGCCUGACCCAGAAAGGCCGGGGGAGUGAUGAAGGCCUUGGGGGUUUAAAGCUCUUUUACCCGGGAUGAUAAUGAAAGUACCGGGAAAAUAAGCCCCGGCAAACCCCGU